CGCAAACCUCUUACAAACGUUCUAGACAACAAGGUCACUUUAGCUCCUGUGUCUAUCGUCAAAUACGCCGUCCUGUUUUCAAUUAUACAUUUUAAACUUGGUUCUGUGCCUCUAACCAUUUUAGUCUCGUGCAUUCCUUUGUAUCGAGUAGUAUAAUUUGUAUAAUUUUUCUUUCUAUACUGAUUAUUUAUUUUCUUUUGUGCGGUGACAGAUAUAACGACGCGUGAUGGCGUUCGUCUGUGAUUAUCUGUCCUCUCACGCUGUCUAUUAUUUACCGAUUCUCUUUUUGCUAGUCAGGAACUUCUAUUACGAUAGGAUUGGUUCCGACUGUUAUUUUGCAAAUUUUGCGGCAGAUUUUGUCGAGUGGCGAAAUAACGUUGAUUAUUCAACGGACGUGAUGGUGGAUACCCAGGAUAUUGGUCACGGCCGUUGUUUAUUCGUGUAUUAAAUGUAUUAAA
rnacentral:lncRNA from 1 species